rnacentral:rRNA from 1 species
UGACGCAGAUGCUCGUCUCCGAGAUUAAGCCAUGCAUGCCCGCGAAGAAGGGAGCGGCGAACGGCUCAGUAGCACCGCGGCGAUCUGCCCCGCGCGAGUAAUAACCGCGGGAAACUGCGGCUAAAAGCGCGGGCUGAGGCGCGGYCCCAUCAGCUAGUCGGCGGUGUAACGGACCGCCGAGGCGACGACGGGUGCGGGGGGUCGGGGCCCUGUUCCGGAGAGGGAGCCUGAGAGAUGGCUCCCACGUCCAAGGACGGCAGCAGGCGCGGAAAUUGCCCACUCCUCGUGGGGAGGCAGUCAGGAGACGUAGCGUAUGAGUGCACUGCAAACGCGUGUACGAACGCGAGCGGAGGGCAAGCUCGGUGCCAGCAGCCGCGGUAAUACCGACUCCGCGAGUGUCUGCGGUGGAUGCUGCAGUUAAAACGUCCGUAGUCAGGUCUGCAGCGAAAGCGCGCAGCUCAGAGGCGCGUGUGCUGCAGCGGCUAGCGGGGCGGACGGGGGGCGUGGUAUGCGCGGGCGAGAGAUGAAACGCCAGGACCCCGCGCGGACCAACGGCGGCGAAGGCGACGCUCCCGGACGCACCUGUGGAUCAAGGACGGAGGCCGGAGGAUCGAAAGUGAU